rnacentral:lncRNA from 1 species
UUUGGCUGGAGCCACAAGAAUUGACAAAUAUAUAUAAGAAUGUGCCCAACACAACCUCAAUUUUUUUUUUUUUUCUCUUUUGUGACUAAUUAGUUAUUUAUUUAUUGCUGCCACUUCGGCCUUGGUCGGAGUGGUGGGCUGCUGCCCUCACAAGCAUUGUGAGGGCAGCGGUUCAAGCCCCCACAAAAGUAUUUGUGGGGGCUAACGUGCUUAUUUGUUUAAUAUUUCAAAAAUUUCCUCUCCCUCGUGCAAUACGAGUGGAGUAUGGACAUCCCUCUUCUGUAAGGGAUUAUUUGUCUGGGCAUGUACUUCACAGAAUUCAAUGUAAUAAUAUAAGUCUCAAUCAUGUAUUUCUGAUUGUAAAUAUCAGUGUAAUAUAUCUGCUAUAAUAGCAGUUGUAAAUAUCUAUGUAAUGCAGUAAUAUGAUGAUUAAUCAAUAUUAAAAAAAAAAAGUUAUUUAUUUAU